GGGAGCACUGCAUUAUCCCAGGUGCCGGCUUUCAGAUGACACAUUACAACCGAAGGCCCACCUACCUGCCUGGUCUGUCCCUCAGGAUCGAGGAUGAAUCGUUUCCACAUGACAAGCCCAAAGCACGAAUGCACCCUCUGCCGGGUAGGACGUGUGUGGAGAGUUGGGGCAAUGAGCUAUUGGGAGAAUUCUUACCUUUGAUUGAUAGACCAGAUUUGUGUCCCCUGCAAGUAUUCUCCAUCCUCUCAAUGCUGUGAAUUUUGUCAAAGAGGAUUUGAAUCCAGAAGAGCAUUUUGCAAUAAACCAUUGAUUGUUGCCAAUAAAGGGUAACUCUUGGUAAAUCUGUUUUAAAACCACUCCCAAGAGUCUGGCGUGAACUUGUGUUAUUGUUUUUGAAGCUGUGAAAUCAAUUUACUAUCUGACAUCUCGUUAUUCUGUUCUGGUAUUAGAAACUGCAAAGAAAAAGUUUAAUUUUUAAAGCUUG